ACGCUCGACACCUACGGGAGGCAGCAGUGGGGAAUAUUGCACAAUGGGGGAAACCCUGAUGCAGCAACGCCGCGUGAAGGAAGACGGUUUUCGGAUUGUAAACUUCUGUUCUUAGUGAAGAUAGUGACGGUAGCUAAGGAGCAAGCCACGGCUAACUACGUGCCAGCAGCCAGGUAAUCUGAGCGGGCUGGCAAGGC
rnacentral:rRNA from 1 species